AGAGUUUGAUCAUGGCUCAGGAUGAACGCUAGCGGCAGGCCUAACACAUGCAAGUCGAGCGGUAACAGGGGUAGCUUGCUACCCGCUGACGAGCGGCGGACGGGUGAGUAAUGCAUAGGAAACUGCCCAGUAGUGGGGGAUAGCCCGGGGAAACCCGGAUUAAUACCGCGUACGCCCUUCGGGGGAAAGCAGGGGAUCUUCGGACCUUGCGCUAUUGGAUGUGCCUAUGUCGGAUUAGCUAGUUGGUGGGGUAAUGGCCUACCAAGGCGACGAUCUCUAGCUGGUCUGAGAGGAUGAUCAGCCACACUGGGACUGAGACACGGCCCAGACUCCUACGGGAGGCAGCAGUGGGGAAUAUUGGACAAUGGGGGCAACCCUGAUCUAGCCAUGCCGCGUGUGUGAAGAAGGCCUUAGGGUUGUAAAGCUCUUUCAGCGAGGAGGAUAAUGACGUUACUCGCAGAAGAAGCCCCGGCUAACUUCGUGCCAGCCGCCGCGGUAAUAC
rnacentral:rRNA from 1 species